ensembl:snRNA U6 U6 spliceosomal RNA
GUGUUCGCUUCGGCAGCACAUAUACUAAAAUUGAAACGAUACGGAGAAGAUUAGCAUGGCCCCUGCGUGAGGAUGACACGCAAAUUCGUGAAGUGUUCCAUUUUUUU